rnacentral:misc_RNA from 1 species
GAUGAAGAACGCAGCGAAAUGCGAUACGUAAUGUGAAUUGCAAAUUCAGUGAAUCAUCGAGUCUUUGAACGCACAUUGCGCCCCCUGGUAUUCCGGGGGGCAUGCCUGUCCGAGCGUCAUUGCUGCCCUCAAGCACGGCUUGUGUGUUGGGCCCCGUCCUCCGAUCCCGGGGGACGGGCCCGAAAGGCAGCGGCGGCACCGCGUCCGGUCCUCGAGCGUAUGGGGCUUUGUCACCCGCUCUGUAGGCCCGGCCGGCGCUUGCCGAUCAACCCAAAUUUUUAUCCAGGUUGACCUCGGAUCAGGUAGGGAUACCCGCUGAACUUAAGCAUAUCAAUAACGGAGGA